UACAGAGGUCCCGAGCGUUGUUCGGAUUCACUGGGCGUAAAGCGUGCGUAGGUGGUUUGUUAAGUCUGUUGUGAAAGCCCCGGGCUCAACCUGGGAAUGGCAAUGGAUACUGGCAAGCUAGAGUGCGGUAGAGGGUAGUGGAAUUUCCGGUGUAGCGGUGAAAUGCGUAGAUAUCGGAAGGAACAUCAGUGGCGAAAGCGACUUCCUGGACCAGUACCGACGUUCAGGCACGAAAGCGUGGGGAGCAAACAGG
rnacentral:rRNA from 1 species